AAAAGGCAGAUUCUCUUUAAACAGAUUAAAGUUGUUUUUGCUUUCUGCAGUGAAGUAGAAUUAUUUGGUAAUAGGUUAAGUGUUUACAAAUUAGCUUUGUAAGUUUAAUAUUUUUAUUUGGUGAUUUUUUUUUUUAAACUGUGUUACUCUUUACAGUGUAGUGUAGUGGAAAUGGCACAUAUUUAAAAAGCAGUCCAUUCAAAUGUCAUAAAUUGUAAAAACUUUUUUUAAAAGAAGAUUUAUUUUAACUUGUGGCAGAGGGCUUAUAUGCAUGUGAGUGCAGGUGCCUGUGAAGGCCACAGUUUGUCAGAGUCACUGGAGCUGAAGUUACAGGUGUUUGUGAGCCGCCCGAGGUGAGUGCUAGGAAUCAAACGCUGGUCCUCUGGGAGGGAGCAGUAUGUGCUCUUAGUCAUCUGAGCCACUCUCCAGUCCCACGUGUCAUUAUUGUUAGAUAGCUAAAUAUACUCCAGACUGAUGUCACAGGAUUUGAAACACAGAAGGAACCUUAGUGUUCUUGUCAUCCACCUAGUUUUACAGAUGGCAAAAAUAGCACAUAGAAUGAGACAGGAUAGCUCUAUGGAAGUUCUAAAGGUUAGCAUGUAUAUACAGCGCAACUAUAGAUAUAUUCAAAAUUACUGUGUGAAUAACAAAUCUUUGUCUACAAAAUGACAGGUUAUUUCUCUUUUGCAUAAAAAUGUAUAAAUAUUAUUCCUAAUAGCUUAUGCUCAGAAAUAGCUCCAUGAGGUCUACACUUAGAAUUUAAACUAGCAAUGUUGUAAAGUUAAUAAAAAAAAUAGAUGUUUCUGAUUUAUUAGGCCAAAAGAAAUAAAAAUUCAUGCGUUUUAGUAGCAAAAGUAAUGUGAUAGUCUCAAAUAGAUAAUUUUGAGUCCCUCGUGUUUUUGUGUUUUGUUAUUUGAUGUAUGCAAACACUUUGUAAGUGCUAGACUAUAUCUGUGGAUACUAAAGUUUUUUCUUUUUUAUAUUAGCUUAAAAUCUGAGUCAUAACUUAGCAAGUAUUUUGAGUGGGCAGAACUGAGUGAAAGCUACAGCUUCUUGGAAUAUAGGUUGGAUUUAUCGAUGUUCAAGAACAGUAUUCUACAGACUUUAUGUGAUUAUGGUUUUCGGAAAAGAGAUGACCUUAUGAGUAUCUUCAAGAGAUGUGUGGUAUGUUAGUCAUUAAACAAGUAUCACAUGUUAUCUAAGUUUUGUCUUCUGACGUAUAUUUCUUAGACACUGAGUUAUUACUUUCAAAUGGUAAAAAUUACUUUAAGGUUGCUGCAUAUAUGGAGCUGGCAAGAAUACUCAGUGGGGAAGUAUUGGCUGCCAAGCUUGAGACCCGGAUUUGACCCCUGGACUCCUGUGAUGGAGUAGAGGAGAGACCUGACUCCUGAGGUCGCCCUCUGUUUGAGCUGCUACAUAUACUAUUGAGCUUUCUGUUGAGCAGUUGGUGAGGUAUUAGGUAAAGAGGAGCCACAUUAUCAUUAGUGAGCAGCCUAGUGGUACUGGUAUUGUGAACAAGUUAGAGCAGAUCUGUUUCAUCAUCUAUCCAGUGACAGUGAUGAUAAACUAGAUUAGUUGAUAGUAUACAUUUUCUGAAUUUAUUUGAUGGGAUUGACUUGAAAUCUUGGCUUAGUUUAUAAAGUACUCUUAUGUAUUCCAUGGGAACAUAUUUUGGGAAUACUGUGAAGAGCUAUGUUCUAGAGUGUUAGAGGUAUAUAGACAUUGUAUAAACUACGGCGUGGGGCAGGGGUGAAGUUUAAAAUAUCUUAUGUCUUAUUCAAGACAUUGUAGUUUUGAGCUAGAUGAAAUUGAUAUCAUUGAAUAUGUAUUUGAGUAGUUCUGUACUAGAUAGUACAUAAAAUCCUCUAGAUAUAUUGGUAAACAUUAUCUUGUUCCUUCAGGUUGAUAGGUGAAGAGAAGCACACAGAUCUGGAGACAGGAGAGUACAGUGUUGACAAGGGUACCAAGGCAGAACUUUAUAUGAGAAUUGUUGAUCUUUAGCAGCCUUUUGGGAGAGAAAAAGAUUACAAAAGAUUGUGAUUAACCCCCUCCCUCCCCCCACCACAUGGCCAUGAUCAGCCUCUCUCUUUCUGCCUUCUCUCUUUCUCUCUGCCUUUCUAUAAUAAAGCUCUAAAACCAUUUUUUUAAAAAAAGUUUGUGAUUAAAAUGUAUAUACCAUAUAUUGAAAGCUGGGCAGCUUGAUAGAGCGCUAGGAAGAGUAUAUUAUGGCACCAAUAAAAGGUAUUAUUUCAGUACUGUAAACUUUUUCUAAAGUUUGUUUCACUUGAAAAUAUUUGAGAAUAUUGUAGAUUUCUUACAAUAAAAAUGCCUUGGUAGAGUACAGUGUAUUUUUACUUUGUAGCCUAUCAGUAUGGUUGUAAGCUCUGGUACUAUGGCCAAAUACCUGAGAAAAACAAUUUUAAAAAGUUUUAUUCCAUUUUAUAAUUGUAUUUUAGCUUUCAGAUCAUUUUUAGACUAUUUUCUUAAAAUUAGAAUUACUCAAAACAAAUAAUCAUUUUUAGUGUCCACAACCUUGUAUAAUAUUACAAAUCUUUAACAUUCUUAUUAAAUUACCUGACCUUUGUUUUGCUUUAGCUGGGAAAGACUAAUAAAUCUCAGUGGUAGGUAAUAUUAUCUACCCAAACCUUUUGCUGUGUCACCUUCCACCUGAGACUUGUAAAUGUUCUAGAAUUAUUCAUGCUUAGAUCUGAGGAUGUUGAGUGUAUAUACUUUG
rnacentral:lncRNA from 1 species